GCUUGGAUAGUGUAGUGGUUAUCACAUUCGGUUUUGAAGAUACUUCGAAAUUCCGAAUAACCUGAGUUCGAAUCUCGGUCUGAGCU